CCUACGGGAGGCAGCAGUGGGGAAUAUUGGACAAUGGGCGAAAGUCUGAUCCAGCCAUGCCGCGUGUGUGAAGAAGGCCUUCGGGUUGUAAAGCACUUUCAGUGGGGAAGAAAGCCUUGGGGCUAAUACCCUCGAGGAAGGACAUCACCCACAGAAGAAGCACCGGCUAACUCCGUGCCAGCAGCCGCGGUAAUACGGAGGGUGCGAGCGUUAAUCGGAAUUACUGGGCGUAAAGCGCGCGUAGGCGGUCUGAUAAGCCGGUUGUGAAAGCCCCGGGCUCAACCUGGGAACGGCAUCCGGAACUGUCAGGCUAGAGUGCAGGAGAGGAAGGUAGAAUUCCCGGUGUAGCGGUGAAAUGCGUAGAGAUCGGGAGGAAUACCAGUGGCGAAGGCGGCCUUCUGGACUGACACUGACGCUGAGGUGCGAAAGCGUGGGUAGCAAACAGGAUUAGAUACCCCAGUAGUC
rnacentral:rRNA from 1 species